GGGCGGUUAGCUCAGCGGUAGCGCACUACCUUGACAUGGUAGGGGUCACAGGUUCGAACCCUGUACCGCCCACCA
rnacentral:tRNA from 1 species